GUGCCAGCAGCCGCGGUAAUACGUAGGGUGCAAGCGUUAAUCGGAAUUACUGGGCGUAAAGCGUGCGCAGGCGGUUUUGUAAGACGGAUGUGAAAUCCCCGGGCUCAACCUGGGAACUGCAUUCGUGACUGCAAGGCUAGAGUAUGGCAGAGGGGGGUAGAAUUCCACGUGUAGCAGUGAAAUGCGUAGAGAUGUGGAGGAAUACCGAUGGCGAAGGCAGCCCCCUGGGCCAAUACUGACGCUCAUGCACGAAAGCGUGGGGAGCAAACAGGAUUAGAUACCCUGGUAGUCC
rnacentral:rRNA from 1 species